rnacentral:lncRNA from 1 species
UUAAUUAAAAAAAUUCAGGAAAAAACAUAGGAGAAAUGGUGAAAAGUCCCGAGGGAAUGCAAGCUCGCAACAUGCACAUGCGCACUCACGGCCAGCAUAAGUCGUGUGCUUAUGCGCACGCCCCAUCCACGCGGGGCACGAGGCACAAUUUACUUGCGCGUCGUAUGCGCGGUAGGCUUGCGCGAAGUAUGUCUACAUGUGGUAGGCCUGUGUACAGUAGGCCUACACGCGGUAGGCUAGGCCUUUGACCCACAACAGAUUGGGGCCGCGCGGGCUGUCCCCUUAGACGUCGUGCACUGCCUUCGACCAGCUUAGGCAGCGUGUCAUUGUUGCUUUGGCAACAUGCUGCCAUCGUUUGGGUGGCAUGCCUUUGAUUUUCUCACUAUGAUCACAUUGCA